GGUAAAAUGGCUGAUAAUAGGCGAUAGAUUGUAAAUUUAUUAAUGAGAAUUUUCUCUUUUACUA
rnacentral:tRNA from 1 species